GGGCCAUGAGACUGCCUUAGAAG
rnacentral:snRNA from 1 species